GCGGGGUGGAGCAGCCUGGUAGCUCGUCGGGCUCAUAACCCGAAGGUCGUCGGUUCAAAUCCGGCCCCCGCAACC
rnacentral:tRNA from 1 species